rnacentral:lncRNA from 1 species
GCUCUUUAUCACGGGAGCAGGCUGCUUCUAGGAUGCCUUCCUGGAUCUUGGACUGGAGAAAAGCCCCCAUGCUCUCUCCUCAGAGUCCACUUUUCCUCCAGAGUGCUUUCUUUUCUUCUGUCUUAGAUGAGCCACAUCUGCGAUGCAGAAAGAGGGGAGCAGAUCGGGCUCUCUGGUGUGAAGUAUGUCCAAGGAUUUGACGGCCCUGCAGAGGGUGAUGACAACUGUGACUUGUCUGCAUUGUUAGUCACUUGUCUCACAAGUGUGACCAUAUACCAGGCAAGUAGCAACUUAAGGGAAGAAGGAUUUAUUUGGGGUCAUGAUUUGAGGGUACAAUAUAUCAUGCCAAGGAAGGCAAGGAUAAAAGUUCAGAUGUGAUGGUGGGGGCGUAUUAGGAAAAAAAAAUACAGUCAGCAAGUGGAGCCAGGCUAUAACCCUCAAGUCCU